rnacentral:rRNA from 1 species
UACAGAGGGGGCAAGCGUUAUUCGGAAUUAUUGGGCGUAAAGGGCGCGUAGGCGGCCUGGCAAGUGGAAGGUGAAAUCCCUCGGCUUAACCGAGGAACUGCCCUCCAAACUGCUUGGCUUGAGUCCGGGAGAGGUGAGUGGAAUUCCCAGUGUAGCGGUGAAAUGCGUAGAUAUUGGGAGGAACACCGGUGGCGAAGGCGGUUCUCUGGGCCUUACCUGACGCUGAGGAGCGAAAGCGUGGGGAGCGAACAGG